GACGAACGCUGGCGGCGUGCCUAAUACAUGCAAGUAGAACGCAGUUGCGAACGGGUGAGUAACGCGUAGGUACCUGCCUCAUAGCUGGGGAUAACUAUUGGAAACGAUAGCUAAUACCGCAUACUGUGAGAUGGACCUGCGUUGUAUUAGCUAGUUGGUUGGGUACAGGCGCACCAAGGCGACGAUACAUAGCCGACCUGGGAGGGGGAUCGGGCACACUUGGACUGGGAGAAGGGCCAGACGCCUAAGGGAGGGAGCAGUAGGGGAUCUUCGGGAAUGGACGGAAGUCCGACCGAGCAAAGGCGCGUUAGUGGAGAAGGGGUUCGGAGAGUAAAGCUCUGUUGUUAGAGAAGCGGUAGCUAACCAGAAAGGGACGGCUAACUACGUGCCAGCCGCCGCGGUAAUAC
rnacentral:rRNA from 1 species